UACAGAGACUGCAAGCGUUAUUCGGAUUCACUGGGCGUAAAGGGUGCGCAGGCGGCCAAGUGUGUGAGGCGUGAAAGCCCGGGGCUUAACCCCGGAAUUGCACCUCAAACUACAUGGCUAGAGCAUUGGAGAGGGUAGCGGAAUUCACGGUGUAGCAGUGAAAUGCGUAGAUAUCGUGAGGAACACCGGUGGCGAAGGCGGCAUCCUGGACCGACACUGACACUGAGGAGCGAAAGCCAGGGGAGCAAACGGG
rnacentral:rRNA from 1 species